rnacentral:tRNA from 1 species
UCCCUGGUAGCCAAGCGGUUAAGGAUUCGGUGUUGUCACCGCCAUGGCUCGGGUUCGAUCCCUGGCCUGGGAA